GCGGAAGGACAUUACCUAGAGUUGUAGGCUUUGCCUGCUAUCUCUUACCCAUGUCUUUUGAGUACCUUACGUUUCCUCGGUGGGUUCGCCCACCGAUUGGACAAAUUUAAACCCUUUGCAGUUGAAAUCAGCGUCUGAAAAAACUUAAUAGUUACAACUUUCAACAACGGAUCUCUUGGUUCUGGCAUCGAUGAAGAACGCAGCGAAAUGCGAUAAGUAGUGUGAAUUGCAGAAUUCAGUGAAUCAUCGAAUCUUUGAACGCACAUUGCGCCCCUUGGUAUUCCAUGGGGCAUGCCUGUUCGAGCGUCAUUUGUACCUUCAAGCUCUGCUUGGUGUUGGGUGUUUGUCUCCUGUAGACUCGCCUUAAAACAAUUGGCAGCCGGCGUAUUGAUUUCGGAGCGCAGUACAUCUCGCGCUUUGCACUCAUAACGACGACAUCCAAAAGUACAUCUUUACACUCUUGACCUCGGAUCAGGUAGGGAUACCCGCUGAACUUAAGCAUAUCAAA
rnacentral:rRNA from 1 species